rnacentral:tRNA from 1 species
GGUAAUAGCUCAGUGGUAGAGUGCAUGCUUAGCAUGCACAAGGUCCUGGGUUCAGUCCCCAGUACCA